rnacentral:rRNA from 1 species
UACAUGGGGUGCAGACGUUGCUCGGAAUUAUUGGGCGUAAAGCGCGCGUAGGCGGUUACUCAAGUCGGAUGUGAAAGCCCUCGGCUUAACUGAGGAAGUGCACCCGAAACUGAGUAGCUAGAGUACUAAAGAGGGUCGCGGAAUUCCCGGUGUAGAGGUGAAAUUCGUAGAUAUCGGGAGGAACACCGGUGGCGAAGGCGGCGACCUGGGUAGAUACUGACGCUGAGGCGCGAAAGCGUGGGGAGCAAACAGG